UUUAGUCCCUUUAUUUUUAUUUCUAAGAAUUUAGUCUCUCUACUUUCAGAUUUCAAAUUUCAAGUCCAAUUAUUAACAUUAUUAAUUUUUUGUUAACUUUGUUGGUGUGACAUUUUAAAAUAAAUAAAAAAAACUCAACUGGCAGCCAUGUACAAAGAAAUGACUCUGUAAUAAACUUGAAUUUAGCAAAAUAAUUUUAAAGUAUUAAUAGUUGAACUUGAA
rnacentral:lncRNA from 1 species